AUGAGAACGUACAGUGCGUCUUUGACAACAACGAACAAAGAUAGAACACUGGAUGAUUCUCGCUCCAGAUUGUCCAUGAGUGAUGAAGAUGUGAAGCAGUUUGCAGAAAUUCCUAGGGAGGAUGAAGGGAAAUUCAGAGAUUGGAGGGUAGGUUACAGGUUUGUUAGGAGUAAGGGAAUUGGUUAUGAUUGGUUAGAGGGUGUCUUCUCUGGAUUGUGCAAGCUGUUUUGGAGCCAUUUCUUGAUUGCAGGUUUGGAAUUCGAUGGUGCGAGGAUGAAAAGCCAAGUUUUGAUAGAGUUAAGAUAUGGGGAGAAAGGCAACAAUUAUUGA